UACGUAGGGACCAAGCGUUGUUCGGAUUUAUUGGGCGUAAAGAGCUCGUAGGCGGCUCACUAAGUCGGAUGUGAAAACUCCAGGCUCAACCUGGAGACGCCAUUCGAUACUGGUGUGGCUAGAGUCCAGUAGGGGAGUGUGGAAUUCCUGGUGUAGCGGUGAAAUGCAUAGAGAUCGGAAAGAACACCAACGGCGAAAGCACUCUGCUGGGCCGACACUGACACUGAGAGACGAAAGCUAGGGGAGCGAAUGGG
rnacentral:rRNA from 1 species